GAAGGACCUCCUUUUUGGAGCUCGUGACAUUUGAUCAGUUUUCUUACUGAAAUAGCGUUAUAUUUACUUUUGGUACAAUUUUUUUUUAGAUUAGUACAGUAUACAGGAGAGAGGAGAGGGAGGAGAGGGAGGAGGGAGCAGCCAUGAGCUGCUUCCCAUUCAGCGAGUGCUGGCCGUUUGGAAGGAGUAAGGCGAGGCCAAGGGAGAGCGAGGUGCCCCCAGCAGAGAAGAUGCAUGAGCCCAUCGUACACCAAGAGAGGCAGGUGACCACACCACCCCCAGAGAUGGACGAGCCCAACCUACCCCGGGCAAAACAGGAACCACCAGCACCCCGGGCAAGACAGGAACCACCAGCACCCCGGGCAAGACAGGAACCACCAGCACCCAGGGCGAGACAAGCACCCCCUGCACCCCGGGAACGACAAAUGCCCCCGCCUCCCCGGGCAAGGUCAGGACCCCAAUCUCGGGCAAGACAGGUGCCCCCGCCACCUCGGGCACGGCAGCCACCUCCUCCACCCCGGGUAAGAAAGGCACCUCCCCCACCCAGGGCAAGGCAGGCACCCCCUGCCAUAAAGGCAUGAGCCAACAACAUCCCCAACUGAGAGGAGUGCCCCACUACCAUCAGAGGCAGGCCUAACCACCACCAUUGAGCUGCAAUAUGCCCCCACCAACAUCGUCGAGGCAUAAGCCCCCAACAAUAUCGGAGAGGCAUGAUGCACCUCCACCACCAUCGGAGAAGUGCUUGCAGACACAAUGUAUUAUUUCAAAAUCAUUUUUCGUAAUUAAAAUAUUUGUUGCAUAAUGA